UUAAGUUUUAAAGCUCCUACUCUUUUCAUCUUUUUUGUAUAUAAUCUGUUUUUUUUUUUUUUUUUUUCUAAAAUUACUGUUUUGUUGUUUUAAAAAUAAUUAUGGUUUUCUCUAAUCUAAUUUAUUUUUAAUUACUCUUUCAUAUAAUAUGAUUUCUCAAUUAGAAUUUUUUCGAGAGAUUGGGAGGUUUCAUUUGAUUGUACUAUUGUAGUUAUUGUUGUUCUACUGCUACACUUCUACUAGUAUACUUAGGCUUUAGGUCUGUUAGAUUCGACUUAUUUUGUCUAAUCUGAUCUUCGGAAAUGAGUGAAGAUAAGUUGAACAGAACAUCUUAUUUAUCUUAUUUUAUAAGAUUUGAAAUAAAUUAAAAUAAGUUGAACAGGAUCUUAAAAAGUUCGCAUUAACUAUUCUUUUCUCUUUGAGAAAAUACUUCAUCCGUUUUUUUUUUUUAUACUUGUAACAUUUAUGUGUCAGGAGAGACAAAGCAAGCCUAUAUUGCAAAAAAUUGUAAGGUUGAAAGUCUUAAAAUGGGAAACGUUGCAAGUAGACAAAAGUGAGGAAGUAUAAGUUAAGUUAAGCAACAUCAAGUGAUCAGGUUAACAAGGAGGUUGAUUUCGAUUUGAGUUCAUAUGUAAUACUUGUGCAAUACUCUGAUGUUUACAUUCUAUAGCUUUUACCAUCUAUUAGCACAGUGGAAAUUCCUAAUGCAUAAUGGGUAGGAACGUUUUUUUGAUCAUGAUGACACUUUUUUGAUGGUAUAUUAAACAAUUUAAGUUGUAUAGUGAGUCAUAACUCAUAAUGGUUAUUGGUGUAUAUGAAAUCACAAAUAUUGUAUAUGGAAACCAAAGUACCGCCAUUAUCGGUUGGCUAUACUGAAAUGGUGAUGUUUGGUUUCAAUAUACAGCAGUUGUAGUUAAAUAGAAGUAUGCAACAUUCAUAAUCAAGUAUUCAAUAGAAAGUAUGUUAUACAGAAAAAUUGUGCACAACUUCUCUUGGAAGUUGGAACAUAGCAUUCUAGUAGAAGAUAUGCUAAGCUACCCAAAAUGUCCUCAUAUUUUUCUAGCUCCCCUUCCCCCCAAAACGCCGCAUCUUCCCCAUGGGCUCUCAUAAUCCCCGUUAUGAACAUCAUAGUUAGAUAUUUGGAACACCUUGCUUGUUUAUGGAAUGUGUUUAGCUAAUAAUAUGCAAAUUGAUGUUUAUGGAUUGUGUUUGGACUGCUUUGUGAUAUUUUCUUUAUCCAAACUUAUCUAAAUCUCAACAUUGCACAUUAAAAUUUAUUUCUUUAUUUUUUGCAAUCCAAACUUUUCUUCAUGAGUUAAUGCUCUUGAAUCUCAACACUGCUCUCAGAAAAUUCAUUAAUGUUAGUUGUGUUAUCUUCAGAUUCACUGUAUUGGCCGUCUUUUUUAGAUUACUCCCAUAUAUGAUACAUGUAUAUGACCUGGCUUGUGUACUGAGCAAACUGUUAUCUUCUUGUAACCUGCAUUCAUCUUCUUCUGGAUUACUACAUUGAUUGUAGAAUCAUCAGACAUUACUGACAUGGCAUCUUCUUCAAAUUUGACUUGGUUUAGAUCACAUUCACUAUCCCCCUUAGCUACGGGAUAACUAUUCUUUACACUUGUUUCAGUAAUACUAAAAUUUUCAUGAGUAGAUACCUAAUAAUCUCAACAAUGCGGCUCAUUGAUGUUUUGUUAUGUGCAUUGUCUUGGACACAAAGUGUUGACUUAAGAGUCCAAUCCAAGUUCAUAAGUGCGAUUGUUGGAGUAUACCAUGUAACAUUUUUCUUCAAAUUUGACUUUGGUUAGAUCAUAUUCACUGAUCUUCUCCUCUUGCACAAUGGCAACUUGUGGUGCUCUGCUGAACUGAAUAUUUUUUUUAGUCACAACUCAUAAGACAUGUCUUGAUUCUCUGGUGAAACAACCUCUCAAUGUAUAUUGUCUAAUGUCGCGUUAAAGCUGUAAAUUAACAUUAUGCUUAUGAUGCUAAAUCAAGGUAGUUUGUUUUUUUUUU